rnacentral:rRNA from 1 species
CGGACGGGUGAGUAAUGUCUGGGAAACUGCCCGAUGGAGGGGGAUAACUACUGGAAACGGUAGCUAAUACCGCAUAAUGUCGCAAGACCAAAGAGGGGGACCUUCGGGCCUCUUGCCAUCGGAUGUGCCCAGAUGGGAUUAGCUAGUAGGUGGGGUAACGGCUCACCUAGGCGACGAUCCCUAGCUGGUCUGAGAGGAUGACCAGCCACACUGGAACUGAGACACGGUCCAG